GUUAAGUCAGGCAACGAGCGAGACCCACGCCCACAGUUGCCAGCGUACUCUCUGGAGUGACGGGUACGACUGUGGGGACCGCCGCUGCUAAAGCGGAGGAAGGAAUGGGCAACGGUAGGUCAGUAUGCCCCGAAUAUCCCGGGCUACACGCGAGCUACAAUGGUUGGUACAAUGGGUAUCUACCCGAAAGGGGACGGGAAUCUCCUAAACCCAUCCGUAGUUCGGAUUGUGGGCUGCAACUCGCCCACAUGAAGCUGGAAUCUGUAGUAAUCGUGUCUCAAAUGGCACGGUGAAUAUGUCCCUGCUCCUU
rnacentral:rRNA from 1 species